UUUAAUUUCAGUGAGGUGUUUGUGCACCAGAUGAUACACUCCAUAGAGUUUGUUCUUGCUGCAGUUUCAAAUACGGCAUCCUACCUUCGAUUAUGGGUUUUGAGGUAUAUCUGUGCUUUGUUUCCCUGUAUAUAUAUAUAGGAUUUUUCUCAGCUGCGGACGUCCGCACCAAUGGUUUUGGUGCGGAUUUUCAUUUUUGCACCACUUUUUAAUCGAAUUUCCUCAUCUCCACCGUCUAAUAUCUAGAUAAUAUUGUGUAGAUCAUCUCUGUAAAAUUUCAGCCAAUUUGGUAAUCGUUAAGGCCCUCAAACUCGGAAAACAAAUGGACGGAAUGAAUUCGGUCAAACAUGNNNNNNNNNNNNNNNNNNNNGUUCACCAAAUUGGCUGAAAUUUUGCAGAGAUGAUCUACACAAUAUUAUCUAGAUACUAGACGGUGGAGAUGAGGAAAUUACGAUCGAAAAGUAGGUGCAAAAAUAGAAAAUACCGCACCAAACCAUUGGUGCGGACGUCCCCAGCCGAGAAGGGCUGUUAUAUAUAUAUAUAUAUAUAGUGUUUGUUUUUGCUUAUUAUGUGGUUUUCUUUAUUUGAUCCUCACUAAGAGAUUUUGUCAGUGUGUUCUCCACCUUAAUCCGAUCCUCAAUAAGAAGAAAAAGACAGUUAUAGUGAUAGUAAUAUAGAUAUACAGCAGCGUCCCGACCACUUCCCCUCCCCGGCGAGUCUGUUUUUUUCCCGUUUCCGGUGAGAUCGACUUUAUUUGAAGUUUUGGGUGAUCUCGCCGGAAAACCGGAAAAGAAUGGACUCGCCAGAGAGGGAAAGUGGUCGGGGACGCUGUUGGAGUCUUCUGGGGUGGAGGCGCGCCGUCGCCGGCGCCGGAGGGUGGAGAACGGACGGACGUCCGCACUUUAAGCCGAGUGCGGACGGUCCGCUUCACAUCCGGCCUGUAUAGAUAUAUAUUAAACUAAAAGGGACAAGGUCAGUCAAGAACCAUAUAAAUUGAAAUUUACUUUACAUCGGUAUUAAGAUAUUAACUCAUGGAGCUCACAAUGUCAGUGUCCAUUUUAUAAUUUGUCAGUGUACUGGUUAAUGAUGUGUAAAUAAUUAUUUGCCAUAUCCAAACAGUGUCGGAUAUUCAGUUUUUGAGUUUUGCAGUGUCGGUGUGUCGCGCCGUGUCCGUGUCCGUGCAACAUAGUAUCUAAGUAUUGAUAGAUGUUAAACCUAUGUUUUGUGUGCUUCUGUAUCAUCUAAUGAUCUUGAUUUUGUCCUCAUGCUCAAUCCACAACAUGGAAUUCUUCUUUGUCUACGAGAAAGAACCAGCAAUGCAGAUAUUAUCUAGGGUCUGUUGCAGAUUAUUAUAGUAUUCUCAGAAUAUUAAUAGAAAAGGAGAACUUUGGAAUAUUAUUACAUUAAUAAAUUCUUGCCCCUUUAAAUAUACUGAUUUGAUUUUUUAAUCAAUUCGUUAUGU
rnacentral:lncRNA from 1 species